UACGGGGGGGGGCAAGCGUUGUUCGGAAUUACUGGGCGUAAAGGGCUCGUAGGCGGCCAACUAAGUCGGACGUGAAAUCCCCAGGCUCAACCUGGGAACUGCGUCCGAUACUGGAUGGCUUGAAUCCGGGAGAGGGAUGCAGAAUUCCAGGUGUAGCGGUGAAAUGCGUAGAUAUCUGGAGGAAUACCGGUGGCGACGGCGGCAUCCUGGACCGGCAUUGACGCUGAGGAGCGAAAGCCAGGGGAGCAAACGGG
rnacentral:rRNA from 1 species